AUUAUUUACGUAUUUAAAUAAGAUUUAGUUUCUCUGUAUGCCGAGUUUUAUUUAGUUUUUCUUUAUUGCAUGAUGUUUUGUUAAGUUUAUAACUAUAAAUGCAGUCAUAUGGCUAAACUAUGUGACCUAUCAUGAGACAUAACCAACGACGCUAUCCGUUUCACUAUACACUGAUGGACAAAAUCACCACCCUUAAAUUUUAAUGUAUUUAGUUUAUUCAUAUUUUGCAUACCGAAAAUAGCUUUGGUUGUAAAAAAAAAUAAGACAUAAAAAAAAAAUUUCAUCUAAAAAAAGAAAUUAUUGAGUAAAACAGAAAAUUCUAAAACAAAAAUGUAAGAAAAUUUUUUUUUGCCCCUUUUAAUACUGAGUAUUUCUACUUAUGGCACGAAUUACGUCCGUUAAACGAUUUUAUGUACCUCAGAAAGUUUUUUCUCCCAUUCAUCAAGGACAGCCGUUUCCAACUCUUCUAGAGUGUAAAACUUUGGGUUUCAUCAUCGUACUUGUCGCUUAGGUUGGUCUUGGAUGUGCUCGGUUGGGUUCAAAUAAGGGCUUCGAGCUGGCCCUCCAAGUACUUAAUUCCAGUCCUGGCCUUAUCCUGGCAUUAUACAGUAUUGACAAGAAUCUCUUACGAUGCGGGUGGCAAAUGACACUAGACUAGUACACAUUUGAAGUUAGAGAUCGUACUUGCCCGAUGACCAAGUAAAUGCUACUCCAGAACAUUAAUGACACAGUGGAAUACCACCUGAGGAUCCAUACAGUAUGGGGGCGCACCUUUCUCUAGAGAGUCGCCAUAUGAAAUUAUGCCCUACUGAAGAUAUGAGACCAACUCUCACCUCAACUCUAAAGAGAACUUGAAAUGUCCAAUUCCAAUUGAAUGGAAGCCUGGCCAUUUUCUGAGAUGUGUAACGAAAGGUUCAUGAGCUGGGUGCCGAGGCCUGAGAGCCUGAUGUCGGAUGAAUCUAUAGUCUGUAGAUCUGUCAUGGAUUACUAGUGUAAAGCUGUAAUUUUCUGAAGCACUGAAGAACACUUCUUACUGUAGAGUGAUUUACACUCUCUCUUGGCAGUUUCACAUUAGCUGUAUCCUUUCACUAUUAAUGUUAUGACAGUCAUACUCACUCAAAUGCCUGACUGGAACCAUUGAAAAAUGUUGAAGAUCAAGAAUAUUAUCAAUUGAAAUCAACGUAGGAAAAAGAUCAACUGAAAGCAAUCUUUAGGCCUAGCAUAAUGGAAGGGUGUAAAGCUACUUUUUGUGCAAAAGGGAUUAAUGAAUGUAUAAGUAAAUAAACAAAGCAUUAUUUACUGUUUAUUUUGACUUAAGAUUGCUCCUAAUUACAUGUAACUGUGAAGAAAGAUAAUGGGUUUAAUUUUGAACUAAGUAAAUUGAGUGGUGCUUCAAAUUUGUCCAUCAUUGUAUA